GCUGGCGUAGCUUAAU
rnacentral:tRNA from 4 species